GAAUAAAAUGGCUUAUUUUAUGCUUUGAGCAAUUUUUAUCCCAGAUUGUGACUAAAGAAUAGGAAGAAAGUGUACAUCUUCUGAAAGAAUCCACUACAAAAGAAUCUGAUGGGCAUAGAAGGGAAGCAUUGCAGCUGUUUCAUUUCUGUGCCUUCCACUGGAGUCUCCUGAGAAGGCACCCUGCAGCCUGCCAAUUGUUCUUUCUCCUUUAAUGGAUUAUCCAAUGGAGAUCCAAAGCCCAUGGCAGAAUGGACAGAUAACCACAGUGUCUGAGCACAUUACUCCUCAAACUGAGAACAGUGAAGUUUGAACGUUCGCUUCUCAAUCCACUGUCAUAUGGCUUCUGCCCUGCGAAUGGCACUGAUUUUUCUACAUCACUAAAUGUUAACAGACAUGUAAAUUUUAACAGAACCUUGAGCAGGAUUUAAUGUAAUCGAGCACAUACAUUCUCAUUGUCUUCUCUUGGCUCUCUGAACAAUAUACUUUCCUAGGUUUUUCCUGUGUUGGUUGUGUCUUAGUUUCUUUUAUUGGGCUUUCUCAAAGUUGAAUCCUGAAUCUUCUUUUCUAUAUCUUUUUUAAAGAAUUCAAUGAUCACCUAUGCCUGCAUUGUCUAAUAUGGUAACCACUAGCCAAAGGUGGCUAGUAAGCACUUGGAAAGUUGGUAUCUAAAUCAUACUGCUACAAGGAUAAAACACUUACUAUAAAGUUUGAAGACUUAUUGGAAACAAAAAUCAAAAGAAUAGUUGAAGCAGGAGAGGGGAGACCUGGUUAAAAAUGGAAUUUACAAAAUGGUCAUAUAAGAGUUUCUUGUGCUCCAUUUACAGUUGGAACCUCUUCACCAUAUGACAAUUGUUUUGAAUUUAGGAAGGGCAAGGCCAUCUUGACCCAGAAAAGCCCUUUAUGCAUUUACCUGAAAGAGGAUCACUUCCAUCUUAUCCUACAAUCAGGCAGCAAGUAUUUACUGAGUAAUGAUUGCCUCCCAGCAGCAUGCAGUAAGUACCCUGUGAUGUAGAGAGAUAGACAUGCAAAGCAGAGAAAUAGAUUUGGGAGUCAUUUACAUCCUGGUGAG
rnacentral:lncRNA from 13 species